AGACAGUAUAAGGGAAAUCUGCUUGUGACAUCUGCCAUCCCAUUCCCACCAGGGUUCAUUUGGGUGAUCUGGCAGGCUAGCUCAGUGGUCCACUUCUUCUCUCAUGGCUCUAUGUGCAUCCUUCCUGAAGCUGUGCUCGAUGGAAGAAGAUGACCUUACCAGUUCAAGGAGGGCCAUUCUUUGGUCCAGCGUAAAUGAGUAACUGUGCUCCUCUGUCAGAGCCUCCAAAUAAGCAGAACCAGGUUACAAAGGUCAAGCCCUACCUCCUUCUAGCAAGGAACUUUGUCCAGCUGCCUCCCUUCUGUU
rnacentral:snRNA from 1 species